CAUAAUCAAACUGGUGUACAAACUGUGCAUUAAAAAUGUGGACUUUCAUUCAUUAAUUCUGUCAAAAUCCUCAGCAAAUGUACAACAAAAAUAAAACCGUAAAAUGAUAAGUUUUAAAAAUAGAUUUUUAUAAAGUUCAGAUGUUUGGUUGAUUAAUGUAGCAACCAUUUGUAAGAAUACAAGACUUUUAGGGAUGCCUAUAAAUCAAAUUAUGGGCGUCCAUCAGUUUUCAUUUGAAUGUUUUUGUUAUUUAAGGGGACACCUCAAUGGUGACCUCAGACUCCUGGCAUAAAGAAAUUAGGAGAAUAUAAAGAAGAAUCAAUCUCCUAAGGCAGACACACGCUGGAAGUGUUAGUACCACCAGUAUCUAAAACGAAAAACAAAUUGAUUUAAAUGAUGAUGAUAUAAAAAAUCAUUUUUGAAAUGGCUAAAAUGUAAUGCUGUGUUACAACAAAAGCUAGCAAUGUGGCUCCUCUCACACAGACUUGAUCAUCAUUCUGGUGGCCUUCAAGGAGUAAGGCGCAGGAUUCUUCCAGGUAUGCCAGUAGAGGCCUGACGCCCAGCCGAUGUGAUCACCUGCAGCAUGCCAGUCGCUGUUCAGACUGGCAGAGCCACAGCGGCUGUACCACCAACCGCCGCCGUCUGAAUUGGUACAUUCAUUUUCAGCGAUGUCACCAAAGAUGCACGGGGAGCAGCCAUCAUUGUCGCGAUCGGUGGUGCUGAAGCCGUAGCCAUUCUGGUCGAUGCCCGAAUAGGCACCACGGAUGGCAUCACCUUUGGACGAAAUUGGAAAACAAUUUACUCAGACAGAACACCAACUGGCCCCAGAUACUGAAGGAGAAGCCUUGCUAGCGGAGGAUGUUUUAAAGUUUUGAUCACUGCAGCCUAAGCAGACAUGGAGGCACAUCAGAUGACCAGACAGACACCCCCACCCUCAUUAUGAUGGUGGAUCUACUGAGGGAAUUGUCGUCAUGAGAGCUGGACAGCAGUGAAACAUUUGCUGAUGCCUGCUGCUGCUCUUUGUGGAAACAUGUUGAAGGAUAUCAACACUAUCACAUUUGACUGAAAGUUGCUGCAGCUCUCUGGGCUGAACUCGCAGCGAAAAUAUGAAUGUUGUCAAG